rnacentral:rRNA from 3 species
CAAACGACUCUCGGCAACGGAUAUCUCGGCUCACGCAUCGAUGAAGAACGUAGCAAAAUGCGAUACUUGGUGUGAAUUGCAGAAUCCCGUGAACCAUCGAGUUUUUGAACGCAAGUYGCGCCCGAMGCCAUUCGGCCGAGGGCACGUCUGCCUGGGCGUCACGC